CCUGCCUACAGGAGGCUUUGUGGCAUGUCUCUGGCCUUAUUACCUUGAAAGAGGCGUGGUGGCUCAGGCCUGUAAUCCCUGCACUUUGGGAGGCCACGGCAGGCGGAUUAUGAGGUCUCUCUGUAUCUAAGCUGGACCUGGUGACAUUUUUGGAGGGAAGGAAAGAGCCCUGAACUGUGAAGAGAGAGGGGACCGUGGCCUAGCACAGCCAGGUAAGUGGGAGUGACAGAAGUAGGUGUGUUGGGUGAGAGGUCCAAAGAUCAAGAAGCCAGAUUUUUUUUGUCUUCCAUUAUUUUAUUAUAUGUACGCAGAUCUGUUUUAUGUACAACAAUUGAUUCUAUCAAAUAAUUAAACCAAGGCGUUCUACUGGUAAUUUUCCCACAAAUCAAUUCAAGUAGGGCUAGAUAUUUAUGCACUUUACGGGCUAUCAAAACUUGAGAUUUCAUUAUUAACUUCAGUUCUGAGGCCAUAGAUACAAUUCAAAAUAUACAUUAACUAGGUUAAGGUGAUAAAAGUGGGCUCAAAGAAACCACAGGAUUCAGAACAAUGAAACCAUGUAUUUUGUUUACAUGAGAGUCACAAUGCAAACGCAUGUGAAGCUCUUCUGUGUUGAGGGAGCAGCUUCUGAAUAUCUAAGGUGAUUGCAUAGCAGGUGGGCAAACAACUGUUGUGGCCUCCUGGAGGCUCAGCCCUGGGCUAAUUUCUUCUCUGCCUCUGCUUUUUUUGUUUUUUUUUGAGACGAAGUUUCGCUGUUGUUACCCAGACUGGAGUGCAAUGGCACGAUGUCGGCUCACCGCAACCUCCAUCUCCUGGGUUCAAGCAAUUCUCCUGCCUCAGCCUCCAGAGUAGCUGGAACUACAGGCGCGCACCACCAGGCCUAGCUAAUUUUUUUUGUAUUUUUAGUAGAGACGGGGUUUCACCUCGUUGACCAGGAUGGUCUCGAUCUCUUGACCUCGUGAUCCACCCACCUUGGCCUCCCAAAGUGUUGGGAUUAUAGGCGUGAGCCACCGCGCCUGGCCUGCUUUUUUAGGUUUAUUUUUUUUUCUUUCCUGGUUUUUUUGACACUGGGUCUUACUCUGCUUUCACCCAGGCUGGAGUGCAGCGGCACAAUCUUGGCUCACUAAACCUCUGAAUCCUGAGUUCGAGUGAUUCUCGUGACUCAGCCUCUCAAGUAGCUGGGAUUACAGAA